GAUGUUACUUUCCAUGAGGAUGUUUUUCCUUUUGCCUCUUCAAGGAGUACCUCCUCUGUUCCACCUUCCAUUGUUCCUUCAUUCCCUGUCUGCUCCCCUGCUAUUGAUGAAUCAUUACUUAGUCCUUCCUCAACAUCUGAUACUUCUCCUUCCCUUUCUCCUCCUGUCUCUAAUCCCUGUCCUACUGCUGCUGUUCCAUUACAUACCACUACCACCACUUCCCAUUCUUUUCCACCUCCAGAACCUGUGUUACCUUCUCCUAGAAGAUCAAGCAGGCCUCAUGUCCCUCCUGCACAUCUUCAGCAAUACAUCUGUAACCUUCCUCCUUCCAUCUCUGGCACUAGUUCUUUUUCCACUUGCUGUAACAGCUCACAUUCUUUUCCACCUCCAGAACCUGUGUUUCCUGCUCCUAGAAGAUCAAGCAGGCCUCAUGUCCCUUCUGCACAUCUUCAGCAAUACAUAUGUAACCUUCCUCCUUCCAUCUCUGGCACUAGUUCUUUUUCCACUUGCCGUAACAGCUCAGUUCACACUGCACAUGUUGAGCCUACUUCUUACAGCCAGGCUGCUUCUGAUCCUGCCGGGCAGGAUGCCAUGACCAAAGAGUUUGAAGCUUUGGAAGCUAAUAAUACAUGGUCCAUAGUUCCCCUUACUCCUGGUAAGAGGCCUAUUUGAUGCAAGUGGAUUUACAAAGUUAAAUAUAGGGCCGAUGGGUGUGUGGAGAGAUAUAAAGCUAGGUUGGUUGUCAGGGGUGACACUCAGGUUGAGGGAGUGGACUUCGCUGAUACAUUUUCUC
rnacentral:lncRNA from 1 species